UUCCGCGCCUGUUUAACAAAAACAUGUCCUUUUGAUUUAAAUAUGAGGUCUACCCUGCCCACUGAAAGUGGAAUGGCCAAAGUAUUUUACCUGUGCAAAGGUAGCAUAAUCAUUAGUCUUUUAAUUGAAGGCUGGAAUGAAUGGUUGGACGAGAUAUUAACUGUUUCAUGUGAAUUUGGGUUAGAAUUUUUUUUUCCAGUAAAAAAGCUGAAAUAAUUUUUAAAGCCGAGAAGACCCUAUAAAUCUUUAUAAUUAGUUUGUUAUGGUUAUUUAGAUGUUUUGUGUUAUAGUAAUUAAUAUUAUUUUAUUGGGGGGUUAUUAAAAUUUAAGGACCUUUUAAUUUUUGUAACAUUUAUUUAUGGUUAUUUGAUCCGUUAAUAACGAUUAUAAAAUUAAGUUACUUUAGGGAUAACAGCGUAAUUUUUUUGGAGAGUUCUUAUCGAUAAAAGGGAUUGCGACCUCGAUGUUGGAUUAAGAGAUAGGUUAGGUGUCGCCGCUCGGAGCUCAGGUCGCUCGC
rnacentral:rRNA from 1 species